rnacentral:rRNA from 1 species
GUCCACGCCCUAAACGAUGGGUACUAGACGUCGGGAAGCUUGUCUUCUUGGUGUCGCAGCUAACGCAAUAAGUACCCCGCCUGGGGAGUACGGUCGCAAGAUUAAAACUCAAAGGAAUUGACGGGGCACGCACAAGCGGUGGAGCAUGUGGUUCAAUUCGAUGCAACGCGAAAACCUUACCUGCCCUUGACAUCUGGGGAAUCCUGCAGAGAUGCGGGAGUGCCGCAAGGAACCCCAAGACAGGUGCUGCAUGGCUGUCGU